UUAGGCAAUGUCUUUCUUUUAAAAACUAAAAAAGUUGGUAGUUUUGUGCCACCAGUGCAGCAUACCAAUACAACUGUGUAGUGUGUCUUUUCAUGGUCACAUGUUUUAACAGUCACAGUUUUAGCACCCUUGCAAUUUACCAUCUUGUUUGGUGGCAUAUCAAAUGUCAGAGACUUCAUCUAUAUAUGUUAUCUAUGAAAGUUCAAAAUUAACUACUUUUCUUGCAUUAAUGACAUACUUGUGAAACUUAAGUAUUUAGUCUCUGUAUUCAGGGGACAUGUUUUGGUGCUAUUCUUGUCCUAGCCCUCAUACAGAGGUUAUUUCUCCUCAAAUCUGGAGCAUCAUGAUAUCUCUAUCCAUUACUAUAAAUCUUGAAUGGUACAUAAUCAUUUUAGCGGAUACUGAAAAGCCUGGUCUUCUUUGGUCUAAAUCCCAUGUUUUUGAUUCUUCUUCUAGCUCAGGCCACUUUACAACUCCCCUACAGAGGCAGUGUUUGCUAUGUUUAGCAACUUUCUGCUGCUCCUCUUGUUCCCUCCAUGUCCUUACCAUUUUCUCAGUUGGUGGUGGACCAAAAUACCAAGCAGCUGCCCUAUUAGCAUGGUCUUUUGCAUAUGCUGUGACAUCUGGUUUAAAUUUGAUGUUAUAACAGUGCCUUUUUUGUUUUUCAGCCAUGGGUUUGGACUCUGUAUGAAAUUUACCGUAAAUAAACUUACCAGUAUGUUAUGGGAAACUGUACCCCUACUCUUGCCUCUUCUCAGAUCAGCUGUAUAGUUGUUUAUAUUUUGAGCAAGAGAAUUGCAAUACAGGAUGUGAAACUCGUAUAUCUGGAUGUGAUGUUUUGUGUUACCAUGACAGGCCACAGUGUGGAAAAUAAGAGAAAAAGGAUUAAAAGAGCCAAACAAAAGUGAAUGACCAAGAAAGGAACACAACAGGAAAGAGGGGGCUGUCGUAAAAGUAAAGCCUCUGAUACAUCAUCUGAUCUGAUCAUUGCAAAUGGCUGCUAUUUCUAGGAGCAUUUUUCAUUUAGAUAAUGAACAAAUGUUUCUUAAAGGUAACCCAGUCAUUAAAUAAUGCAUACAUAUAUCAGGGUUAUGUAUGUUGGGGAAGGAGACCUGUGAUGAUGGAUUGCCAAGCAGAAAAAAAAAAAGCUUCUCUUUGCUUUCAAUCAG